CGAGAACCGAUUGCUACGAAAGUAGAGGAAAGUCCGGGCAUCCACAAUCUGCGAUGAUUGUAGUGUUUGUACUGCGUCUAAUAAAUGCAGGUAGCAUUUUGCUAACGACAGACCUAAGACCUAAACCGUAAAGGCAUGGUUGAUAAGUCAUAAAGUGCCACAGAAACUAUGUUGUCUUGAAAAAGACAAAUGAAAAGCGGUAAACUCUGCAAGGAUGAAACCCAAAUUUUGGUAGGGGAACUUCAUUAAAGGAAAUGAACGAUAAUGGAGAUGCAUAGCAUAGAUAAAUAAUCGGUUGAAAAACAGAACUCGGCUUAUC
rfam:Candidatus Stoquefichus sp. KLE1796 genomic scaffold Scaffold135, whole genome shotgun sequence.